AGGUUGGACUGUGCAUCAAAGAGAUUUGUUGAGGAGACAAGCUUUCCUUACAACGCGGGCCACAUUGCUCUUCUUCCAAUCUGUUUUUACGAAGGCACCUUAAUGAUUCCGGAUAAGUAUAAGCUGUUUUUUCUGGAUUGUGAGAGUAUGGCCUGGAGUAGCAUUCCACUUCAGAAUCCUUUACUUCUGAGGUAUGUUUUUCUGUUUGCACCAUCUUUGGUGCCUCCAUGAAUGUUCGCUAAAUAAAAGUUCAAAUCAUUUCAGAUCCGUUUGUCUUUGAAGCGUUUUUUCUUACCUGUACCUGCAAAUCCCAAAGUAAAUCCCAAAGUUACCAUAGCCAUGUCAGAUUUUCUGACCAGCCAACACGGAUUUACAUGCGAGCUUGAAAAAGCAAGGCUCUUACCUCGUCAGUCCACGCUUUUAACGUUCUUGGCAUCCCGUGCUCGACCAUGUCCCGUGCAAAUCGAGAGCCAAGCCGUAGAACGAGAGGAGCCACAUGCACAGAGUUCCGAAAGAAAAACACGAAAAACAAGACCACCGCUGUUGAAAACCAGCUGAGUCGAUGUCUAUCAAGGUAGUCAGGAGUUUCACGGCCUGUAGGACACUGGUCUCAGCCAAAUGAGCUCACGGCUGUUUGCCGAGGGAUAGAAAAAACAAAUCAUUCGGUGGAUCGAUGGAAACAAUAGCUAUAUUACCUGAAUACAAAGCCACGAUACAAUCCCCCAUUAGAUCUCCACCGCCUGUGUUCGUGGACAACUUCUCUCGCAAAAUCUCCGAACGAGCUACCUGCGAGAAAAGAAGAGAAAAGAUCGCCAGUAUAUUCUCCAUGUAUGUUUAUUCUUCGAAUAUUCAUGCAAUAAUGCAACCUCAACGUGGAUAUAAAAAACGGAGGCAGAGUUUCCAUUGUUUCCAGCAUGGAGCGAUCAAGAGCUUGUCGCCCAAAACGAUUUGCGCGGCUUUUAACGUGGAAGAUGGAGUUGAGAUGCGGUCUCGCAGGACACACGACGCUCUUCUUCCCCACCCAAAUAGCUUACAAACGAAGAGCAGUCAAUGAAAGUCAAUGAAGAGUCAACUCAGUCAAUGCAAGGGUACAUGAACUUUUUUAUUCUAGGGUUUCGCUUGUCCCAUCUUCGUGAUCCGCAAGGAUGAGAUUCUCGGCAAUGUAGGACAGGUGAUUUGGUUCCAGGUCCUGAUUUCUAGCAUCGAGGAUCCGUGCCAAACUCUACACCAAUCAAUUGGAAAGAGGAAGCUGAGGAGAUGGCGCUCAAAGAAGCGUGGACGGCUUUUCAAGAUGUCCCGAAUCAACGAAGGCAAAUUUUCGAACGCUUUGGGUAGAGCCAAAUUUUUUUUUAUCCUGUCCACGACUUCGCUGUAUCAUAAAGUUUUCACAGCCGAUAGGAGAGCUUAUGGUAGUUCUUCCGGCGAGAUGAGAGAACACUGGCCCGUUUUUCCAGCAAAAAAGUUGGAUCGAUCAGACACUCCAGGCCAAAAAAGGUAGAAAGCUUACUUCUCGGUGGUGAUGAUCGAGAACAAUUCCAUUCCAUUCUCUCCUGCUCGAUUUGAGACAACGUGAAAUCGCGGGACGAUAAACAGGCAGCCGAGUGACAAGCAGCUGCGAGUCUAUGCCUGCCUCGACUCUAAAAACACUCCUACGUCGCACAGCCUUGCGUGUGAUUACGACAUUGUCAAGGCUGGUGGAUAAUAUCCAGGUUACACUUUUUAGUUUGUUUUCUUUUGAGCUAAACCGCAGUUUCUUUGUCAGCAGCAAAGAAGAAUGUCAUAGGAAAGAUUGGGUUGCGGAACAUCAGGUUACUGAGUAAAAGCCUGGCUUGCGUUCUGCAAUGGUACUUAUCUUAUGCAGAAACAGUGAGCAUUAGUAUUUCGUUUGGCAUCAGCAACACGCAAUGACUGGGAUAAAUUCGAGGAUCAAAGUACGCUUUUUAUCACGACGACGUAUAUGUCAAGUGAAAUUUCUAAACUGUAGGAUUUGACUUACUUCCAGCAAAUAAGCAGAGACGAUGAACAUGCUUUUGAAGGCUGAAGCACUUUUAUUUUCUAGCUUCCUUCUUGGCAAUCGUAUUUAUUUCUUGUUUUCGAGUGCAUACACAGUAAUUCAUGGUACAUCUCUUGAGAUCCUGCCUCCUCCCUCCAUUGUUGCGCUGUUUUUGUUAUUUGUUUGUCCUAUUAUUUGACGAAGAUUACGAGCUGUAGACGCAAAAUUUAUCCUCCUCCUCCAUUGCAGGCUGUCAGGAGACCGAGGAGGCCACCGCACGCUCUUGUAGGAAGUUCCAACCAAUUAUGAUGCUUGAGAUGAAAAGCUACAGCCUGGUCCAGAAUCGAACCUGCUUUUUUUCGUUCAGCACCACCAGAUCGCCACCUUGAAGAGGAAAAUGGGUAAUGAAUCGUGAAUGUGGCGUGUCAUUAUCUGCAAACUGCUCCGCUUUUGCCCACGUAACCACCUUCCAGUGACGCCCGCAUUCUUCUUGUUCAUCCAGCUCCAGCAAUACGAUGCCUCCCUUGAAAAGAUGACCUAUUAUGAGUUCGCACUGGCCAACCACGAUCACCUUGGGCCCGUAAUGCAAGGAUCAAGCCUGCGAUAAAUGUAGCCCGCGAGUUUGAGUUCUUGAGGCAGCGGGAAGUCGUUCAAAGCUUUGGCACCUGGGAUUGCCAUUGCCUCAGUGCGCAGGUCGUAAGCCUGCAGCUUGCUAUCCCGGAAGAUGAACUCCCCAGCAAGAUGUCCCGUCAGUAUGCGAUGACUUCCAGACAUGGGAAACGCUGUAUAAACGCUGUGACCUCCAGCUACCGUCCAUAGAGCAGGUGAAUGCUAAACUGCUCCUGGUUGCCUGAUCUUAUUCUUAAGUUGAUCUGACCCGGUCCAAACGCAAAAUCAGGAGCACUCGCGUUUGCAAAGGUCACUUCCACAACAGGAAGCUCAAGUUGGAAUCCGGUGCGCAAACAGCCACCCGCAACGGCCAUACGCGACAAUGGUGGCUCCAAAUCAGUCAAGAAGUCGUCUCUGAGGACGCCACAGAGCAGGCCCGAGCAUGCGGCCAUUGGAAAGUGUCGCGGCAACAACCGGUUUGACACCACUCCUAGGCGAGCAACGACGGGCAUGGGGGACUGUUUUUGAUCCCCACCAGAGCGAGUGAACGUGAGUGAGUGAAGCGAUUGAGAAGUUUGAGCGCUGUCAUUCGCGUCUAAGAGCCAUACCUUCACUCUCAAGGAGUUUUACCUUCGUUGUCAGUCACAACAUCGUCUCCGGCCUCACUUACGUCAACACUGUCUGGAGGAAUGGCCUUCGAGGAAACAAUAUCCCUUACGCCCCAAUAAAAGGGCAAUUGCAACAACACCACUUUUGCGGAGAAUUCGAUCCAUAUGUCGAGCAGAUUCUUGUGAAGACCAAGGAGCUGUUCCUUCCCAUCCUCCUGGAUCCCAGUAGCUCUUGGGAAGAGUUACUCCAUCUUCUUCCUCGACUUGGACGAUCAUUAUCCUUUGAAGUAAACGGGGAUUAAAAGAGGCCCUUUCCGUAAUAGGGCAGGUAUGGACAACAUAGUUGAGGAGGAGGUGUUGAAGCUCUUGCCAGCAGUUGUUUUGCACCGCCGCAUCAGAGUCGUGUGCAAGCGGUGGAGGGAUCUCGUAGACUCACCAGGAUUUGGAAAGUUUCAUUCAGCGCACCACUCUAGAAACAAGCAGAUUUGCCCUCCUCAUGUCUUGGGAGUAACUUCUUUCGGUAAGGGAGUGUAUCGGUGCAAACCCGUUUGCUGCUGGAUCUCAAACACAGAAGGGUUGGGUCCGUCAGGGAUGUUUACCAUCAACAUCAGGGUUUUCAAGGCCUGUGGUGGAUUGGUGUUUGGACAGAUGGGCAAUGACUAUGUUGUUCUCAAUCCGCUCACCACAGCUCUCAAGGUGCUCCCGCCGCCACCCCUGAAAGUAGUAAUAGUAUGGCGUUCUGCCCUGGUUUUGGAACCGUGUAUGCAGGGUUACUGGAUUUGUGUAGCGGUGUAACAAAAAAAAGCAAUUGCUGGUAUAUAGCUCGAGAUCAGGAGUGUGGGACAAGGUGGAUUAUCUUCCUGGCUGGAAUCGUCUCGAAAAUGGAGUUGGGAUGGCCAACAGCAACGCUUAUUUUCCAUGCGAACAUGAACGUAUGUGGGGGGCUUUGAGCUUCAACAUGGAAGAAAUGAGAUGGACUGUUGAGUGGUCAUCUUUCAUGGGCCAUUCCCCUGUUGAAGCUUGCUGGAAUGUGUACAAUUGGGUGGUAACACCAGCAACACAGUUUUUCAAGGUGGCUGUGGUAAACGAUUUUGGGGUUCUGAAGAUGAUGCUGAUAAGGUUGGACUGUGCAUCAAAGAGAUUUGUUGAGGAGACAAGCUUUCCUUACAAUGAGGGCCACAUUCCUCUUCUUCCAAUCUGUUUUUACGAAGGCACCUUAAUGAUUCCGGAUAAGUAUAAGCUGUUUUUUCUGGAUUGUGAGAGUAUGACCUGGAGUAGCAUUCCACUUCAGAAUCCUUUACUUCUGAGGUAUGUUUUUCUGUUUGCACCAUCUUUGGUGCCUCCAUGAAUGUUCGCUAAAUAAAAGUUCAAAUCAGAGUUCCGAAA
rnacentral:lncRNA from 1 species